GGGCGCUUAGCGCAGUGGUAGCGCGUAUGCUUUGCAUGUAUAAGGUCCAGGGUUCAAUCCCCUGAGCGUCCA
rnacentral:tRNA from 1 species